UUAAGCGACUAAGCGUACACGGUGGAUGCCCUGGCAGUCAGAGGCGAUGAAGGACGUGCUAAUCUGCGAUAAGCGUCGGUAAGGUGAUAUGAACCGUUAUAACCGGCGAUUUCCGAAUGGGGAAACCCAGUGUGWUUCGWCACACUAUCAUUAACUGAAUCCAUAGGUUAAUGAGGCGAACCGGGGGAACUGAAACAUCUAAGUACCCCGAGGAAAAGAAAUCAACCGAGAUUCCCCCAGUAGCGGCGAGCGAACGGGGAGCAGCCCAGAGCCUGAAUCAGUGUGUGUGUUAGUGGAAGCGUCUGGAAAGGCGCGCGAUACAGGGUGACAGCCCCGUACACAAAAAUGCACAUGCUGUGAGCUCGAUGAGUAGGGCGGGACACGUGGUAUCCUGUCUGAAUAUGGGGGGACCAUCCUCCAAGGCUAAAUACUCCUGACUGACCGAUAGUGAACCAGUACCGUGAGGGAAAGGCGAAAAGAACCCCGGCGAGGGGAGUGAAAAAGAACCUGAAACCGUGUACGUACAAGCAGUGGGAGCACGCUUAGGCGUGUGACUGCGUACCUUUUGUAUAAUGGGUCAGCGACUUAUAUUCUGUAGCAAGGUUAACCGAAUAGGGGAGCCGAAGGGAAACCGAGUCUUAACUGGGCGUUAAGUUGCAGGGUAUAGACCCGAAACCCGGUGAUCUAGCCAUGGGCAGGUUGAAGGUUGGGUAACACUAACUGGAGGACCGAACCGACUAAUGUUGAAAAAUUAGCGGAUGACUUGUGGCUGGGGGUGAAAGGCCAAUCAAACCGGGAGAUAGCUGGUUCUCCCCGAAAGCUAUUUAGGUAGCGCCUCGUGAAUUCAUCUCCGGGGGUAGAGCACUGUUUCGGCAAGGGGGUCAUCCCGACUUACCAACCCGAUGCAAACUGCGAAUACCGGAGAAUGUUAUCACGGGAGACACACGGCGGGUGCUAACGUCCGUCGUGAAGAGGGAAACAACCCAGACCGCCAGCUAAGGUCCCAAAGUCAUGGUUAAGUGGGAAACGAUGUGGGAAGGCCCAGACAGCCAGGAUGUUGGCUUAGAAGCAGCCAUCAUUUAAAGAAAGCGUAAUAGCUCACUGGUCGAGUCGGCCUGCGCGGAAGAUGUAACGGGGCUAAACCAUGCACCGAAGCUGCGGCAGCGACACUAUGUGUUGUUGGGUAGGGGAGCGUUCUGUAAGCCUGUGAAGGUGUACUGUGAGGUAUGCUGGAGGUAUCAGAAGUGCGAAUGCUGACAUAAGUAACGAUAAAGCGGGUGAAAAGCCCGCUCGCCGGAAGACCAAGGGUUCCUGUCCAACGUUAAUCGGGGCAGGGUGAGUCGACCCCUAAGGCGAGGCCGAAAGGCGUAGUCGAUGGGAAACAGGUUAAUAUUCCUGUACUUGGUGUUACUGCGAAGGGGGGACGGAGAAGGCUAUGUUGGCCGGGCGACGGUUGUCCCGGUUUAAGCGUGUAGGCUGGUUUUCCAGGCAAAUCCGGAAAAUCAAGGCUGAGGCGUGAUGACGAGGCACUACGGUGCUGAAGCAACAAAUGCCCUGCUUCCAGGAAAAGCCUCUAAGCAUCAGGUAACAUCAAAUCGUACCCCAAACCGACACAGGUGGUCAGGUAGAGAAUACCAAGGCGCUUGAGAGAACUCGGGUGAAGGAACUAGGCAAAAUGGUGCCGUAACUUCGGGAGAAGGCACGCUGAUAYGUAGGUGAAGUCCCUCGCGGAUGGAGCUGAAAUCAGUCGAAGAUACCAGCUGGCUGCAACUGUUUAUUAAAAACACAGCACUGUGCAAACACGAAAGUGGACGUAUACGGUGUGACGCCUGCCCGGUGCCGGAAGGUUAAUUGAUGGGGUYAGCGCAAGCGAAGCUCUUGAUCGAAGCCCCGGUAAACGGCGGCCGUAACUAUAACGGUCCUAAGGUAGCGAAAUUCCUUGUCGGGUAAGUUCCGACCUGCACGAAUGGCGUAAUGAUGGCCAGGCUGUCUCCACCCGAGACUCAGUGAAAUUGAACUCGCUGUGAAGAUGCAGUGUACCCGCGGCAAGACGGAAAGACCCCGUGAACCUUUACUAUAGCUUGACACUGAACAUUGAGCCUUGAUGUGUAGGAUAGGUGGGAGGCUUUGAAGUGUGGACGCCAGUCUGCAUGGAGCCGACCUUGAAAUACCACCCUUUAAUGUUUGAUGUUCUAACGUKGACCCGURAUCCGGGUUGCGGACAGUGUCUGGUGGGUAGUUUGACUGGGGCGGUCUCCUCCUAAAGAGUAACGGAGGAGCACGAAGGUUGGCUAAUCCUGGUCGGACAUCAGGAGGUUAGUGCAAUGGCAUAAGCCAGCUUGACUGCGAGCGUGACGGCGCGAGCAGGUGCGAAAGCAGGUCAUAGUGAUCCGGUGGUUCUGAAUGGAAGGGCCAUCGCUCAACGGAUAAAAGGUACUCCGGGGAUAACAGGCUGAUACCGCCCAAGAGUUCAUAUCGACGGCGGUGUUUGGCACCUCGAUGUCGGCUCAUCACAUCCUGGGGCUGAAGUAGGUCCCAAGGGUAUGGCUGUUCGCCAUUUAAAGUGGUACGCGAGCUGGGUUUAGAACGUCGUGAGACAGUUCGGUCCCUAUCUGCCGUGGGCGCUGGAGAACUGAGGGGGGCUGCUCCUAGUACGAGAGGACCGGAGUGGACGCAUCACUGGUGUUCGGGUUGUCAUGCCAAUGGCACUGCCCGGUAGCUAAAUGCGGAAGAGAUAAGUGCUGAAAGCAUCUAAGCACGAAACUUGCCCCGAGAUGAGUUCUCCCUGAC
rnacentral:rRNA from 1 species